rnacentral:rRNA from 1 species
CGAAUGGCUCAUUAUAUAAGUUAUCGUUUAUUUGAUAGUACCUUACUACUUGGAUAACCGUGGUAAUUCUAGAGCUAAUACAUGCUAAAAAUCCCGACUUCGGAAGGGAUGUAUUUAUUAGAUUAAAAACCAAUGCCCUCUGGGCUCUCUGGUGAUUCAUGAUAACUUCUCGAAUCGCACGGCCUUGCGCCGGCGAUGGUUCAUUCAAAUUUCUUCCCUAUCAACUUUCGAUGUUUGGGUAGUGGCCAAACAUGGUUGCAACGGGUAACGGAGGGUUAGGGCUCGACCCCGGAGAAGGAGCCUGAGAAACGGCUACUACAUCCAAGGAAGGCAGCAGGCGCGCAAAUUACCCAAUCCCGAUUCGGGGAGGUAGUGACAAUAAAUACUGAUACAGGGCUCUUUUGGGUCUUGUAAUUGGAAUGAGUACAAUUUAAAUCCCUUAACGAGGAACAAUUGGAGGGCAAGUCUGGUGCCAGCAGCCGCGGUAAUUCCAGCUCCAAUAGCGUAUAUUAAAGUUGUUGUGGUUAAAAAGCUCGUAGUUGAACCUUGGGCCUGGCUGGCCGGUCCGCCUCACCGCGUGUACUGGUCCGGCCGGGCCUUUCCCUCUGUGGAACCCCAUGCCCUUCACUGGGUGUGGCGGGGAAACAGGACUUUUACUUUGAAAAAAUUAGAGUGCUCCAGGCAGGCCUAUGCUCGAAUACAUUAGCAUGGAAUAAUGAAAUAGGACGUGCGGUUCUAUUUUGUUGGUUUCUAGGACCGCCGUAAUGAUUAAUAGGGACAGUCGGGGGCAUCAGUAUUCAAUUGUCAGAGGUGAAAUUCUUGGAUUUAUUGAAGACUAACUACUGCGAAAGCAUUUGCCAAGGAUGUUUUCAUUAAUCAGGAACGAAAGUUAGGGGAUCGAAGACGAUCAGAUACCGUCGUAGUCUUAACCAUAAACUAUGCCGACUAGGGAUCGGACGAUGUUAUUUUUUGACUCGUUCGGCACCUUACGAGAAAUCAAA